AUUGAACGCUGGCGGCAGGCCUAACACAUGCAAGUCGAACGGUAACAGGAAGCAGCUUGCUGCUUCGCUGACGAGUGGCGGACGGGUGAGUAAUGUCUGGGAAGCUGCCUGAUGGAGGGGGAUAACUACUGGAAACGGUAGCUAAUACCGCAUAAUGUCGCAAGACCAAAGAGGGGGACCUUCGGGCCUCUUGCCAUCGGAUGUGCCCAGAUGGGACUAGCUUGUUGGUGGGGUAACGGCUCACCAAGGCGACGAUCCCUAGCUGGUCUGAGAGGAUGACCAGCCACACUGGAACUGAGACACGGUCCAGACUCCUACGGGAGGCAGCAGUGGGGAAUAUUGCACAAUGGGCGCAAGCCUGAUGCAGCCAUGCCGCGUGUAUGAAGAAGGCCUUCGGGUUGUAAAGUACUUUCAGCGGGGAGGAAGGGAGUAAAGUUAAUACCUUUGCUCAUUGACGUUACCCGCAGAAGAAGCACCGGCUAACUCCGUG
rnacentral:rRNA from 1 species